UACGGGGGGGGGGCAAGCGUUGUUCGGAAUUACUGGGCGUAAAGGGCUCGUAGGCGGCCAACUAAGUCGGACGUGAAAUCCCCCAGGCUCAACCUGGGAACUGCGUCUGAUACUGGAUGGCUUGAAUCCGGGAGAGGGAUGCAGAAUUCCAGGUGUAGCGGUGAAAUGCGUAGAUAUCUGGAGGAAUACCGGUGGCGAAGGCGGCAUCCUGGACCGGCAUUGACGCUGAGGAGCGAAAGCCAGGGGAGCAAACGGG
rnacentral:rRNA from 1 species